rnacentral:rRNA from 1 species
UACGUAGGUGACCAGCGUUGUCCGGAUUUACUGGGCGUAAAGAGCGCGCAGGCGGUCGUUCAAGUCGAGUGUGAAAGCCCCCGGCUCAACUGGGGAGGGUCAUUCGAUACUGAUCGACUCGAAGGCAGGAGAGGGAAGUGGAAUUCCCGGUGUAGUGGUGAAAUGCGUAGAUAUCGGGAGGAACACCAAAGGCGAAGGCAGCAUCCUGGAUGGUUACUGACGCUCAUGUGCGAAAGCCAGGGGAGCGAACGGG